UGCGUAGGCGGAAUAUUAAGUCAGAGGUGAAAUCCCACAGCUCAACUGUGGAACUGCCUUUGAUACUGGUUGUCUUGAGUUACAGUGACGUAGAUAGAAUAUGUAGUGUAGCGGUGAAAUGCAUAGAUAUUACAUAGAAUACCGAUUGCGAAGGCAGUCUACUAACUGUAUACUGACGCUAAUGGACGAAAGCGUGGGGAGCGAACAGGAUUAGAUACCCUGGUAGUCC
rnacentral:rRNA from 1 species